UAACCUGCCCAAGAGAUCGGGAUAACACCUGGAAACAGAUGCUAAUACCGGAUAACAACAGAUGAUGCCUAUCAACUGUUUAAAAGAUGGUUCUGCUAUCACUCUUGGAUGGACCUGCGGUGCAUUAGCUAGUUGGUAGGGUAACGGCCUACCAAGGCGAUGAUGCAUAGCCGAGUUGAGAUACUGAUCGGCCACAUUGGGACUGAGACACGGCCCAAACUCCUACGGGAGGCAGCAGAC
rnacentral:rRNA from 1 species